GCCCAAGUAGUGUAGCCUGGCCUAGCACUCGAGCCUGUCGCGCUCGCGACCCGGGUUCAAAUCCCGGCUUGGGCG
rnacentral:tRNA from 1 species